rnacentral:lncRNA from 1 species
ACAUGUCUCCUCUUGUUUUUUUUCUCUUCUCGAAAGUGAUUUUAUCGCUUUAUAACUAAAUAGAAAUAAAUAAAGAGAAAACAUUUUUGUUCCAGUAAGCAUUUUAUUAGGGAUAUUAUAUCCACUAAUCACUGGUUGGUUUUAAAUUGGAAACCCAUAAUAAACCCGAAUCUAACAUGGUAUCAGAGCCAAAUUCUAAAUACUCUAAACC